rnacentral:rRNA from 1 species
UUGAUCCUGGCGUCAGGAUGAACGCUGGCGGCGUGCCUAACACAUGCAAGUCGAACGAAGUCACUUUAUUUAGGAGUUUUCUUCGGGGAAUGAAGAUUUUGUGACUUAGUGGCGGACGGGUGAGUAACGCGUGGGAAACCUGCCUCAUACAGGGGGAUAACAGCUGGAAACGGCUGUUAAUACCGCAUAAGCGCACGGAACCGCAUGGGUUUUGUGUGAAAAACUCCGGUGGUAUGAGAUGGUCCCGCGUCUGAUUAGCCAGUUGGCGGGGUAACGGCCCACCAAAGCGACGAUCAGUAGCCGGCCUGAGAGGGUGAACGGCCACAUUGGGACUGAGACACGGCCCAAACUCCUACGGGAGGCAGCAGUGGGGAAUAUUGCACAAUGGGGGAAACCCUGAUGCAGCAACGCCGCGUGAGUGAAGAAGUAUUUCGGUAUGUAAAGCUCUAUCAGCAGGGAAGAUAAUGACGGUACCUGACUAAGAAGCCCCGGCUAACUACGUGCC